GGCAGAAGCAGGAAGGUUCCAGAACUCUGGAGAAGUGACAGGGCAGUUGUUUCUUCUGAGAGAGACAGUUGAGCAGCCAGGAGUUGAGUUUCAGCCUAGUCUCCUGAGGUCAAACUAGAAAGCUAAACAUUCUCUCUCCUGUGGCUUUCCUUGCAAUUCAGUCUGUUCCUGUGGAUCUUGUAGAUGCUGAGAAUAAUUUCCAAUAGAGCAACUCAAGACAUCCAAGUGCCAUCUGAGACAAGAUAUAUGGAGGUCCUGAGUGCAGAGUAGGACUAUAUUAAGUUGAUAAAUUUUAUUAACCAGAACAAAAUUCAGAUUAAGGAACUAGGUUGAUAUCCUAAAUACAAUGUGGUACGAUAAUGAAGACAAAUCCAUAACUAAGGCCUCAAACUCAACAGUGAGUGACAGGGAUAUCUCCUCCAAGCAUGUGAAGACUUCUCCCCUCAAGAAUGGGCAGAUGAGAACACUUUGUUCCAAGGGCCAUUAAGGUGGCUGAAUGCAAUUAACUCCCAUUCUCCUUUUCCGCAACACUCUCCAGAAAGAAAGAAAGAAAGAAAGAAAGAAAGAAAGAAAGAAAGAAAGAAAGAAAGAAAGAAAGAAAGAAAGAAAGAAAGAAAGAAAGAAAGAAAGAAAGAAAGAAAGGAAGAAAGGAAGGAAGGAAGGAAGGAAGGAAGGAAGGAAGGAAGGAAGGAAGGAAGAAAGAAAGGAGAAAACAAAAAGUUUUCCAUUGUAACAAAGGACUAUACAGAGUCAUGAAAAUCCACAUAUUGGCUGUGUAUGAAAACAUGUGUCUCCUUUUAGACCUCUAAUCCAAUAUCUCUCUACUUUAUCCCACCAUUUUUAACAGAGGAGGGAACUGUAUGUUCUUGUUGUCUCUCACAGUGGAAUGGAGCUUUCUGACAGUGAUGGAAUAGAGUUUUCCUUGUACAUAAGACAUGGCUUGAUUUCUCUUUUUAUCUCCAGUCCAUAGCAUAGUGUUUGACAUACAAUGGGAACUUAAUAAAUGCUUUCUGAUUGAUUAAUUUCA
rnacentral:lncRNA from 1 species